CGUGAAAGGGUCGUUUGACCCCCAAAGGGGUCGCGACCCACAGGUUGAGAACCGCUGGUCUAAGCCUUCCAUCUCCCCCAAAUCUGGCAGAGGGGAGUCGGGCUAUAAGGGGGCAGUGGCCUGGGAAAGGGCAUGUGUGCCAUGCCUACGCUCUCCUGGUCCUGGAUUCCCUGAUGACUCACCUGACAUCCUUUCGGAAACCUUAGACUUACGUGUCUCAGGUGCUUUAUAAACACUUCCUGUGUAAAGCCUAACACUAAUGGAAAUAACAGUCUUCUGAUUUCACAGAUGAGAAAAAGGAAACCGAUUUCACUCACCAGCGGCACCUGGCAGUUCAGCUGGUCUCUUUUGCCUUAAUCACUGCCAACCUGAGAGGUGGCAGCCACCCAUUCAGCACAGAGCUCAAACUUACUUCUUAUUCCUCAUGGGAACCCAGCCAUUUGCUGAGGUCAGACUUAUUUAGGGAGUGGCCGUGAGGGCUCGUUUGCUUUUGCCUGAAAUACUGGGACCCCAAAGGCAAUUAAGCUUGGUGAGUGGGAGAGUCUGGGUCCUAUACUAUGUGGACUUUCCAAAGCAUAGGAACUGCUAUCCAAUAUCAUGUUGGAAGAGCCUCUAGGGGGUAAAUCUUGCCCAAGAAUAAAGCCAGUUUUUUUAUUGUUUUUUCCAGAACUGUCAAGUAAACAAAUUUAUUGAACGCAACAGCAGAAAAACAUCGACUGCAGAAACCCUUCAAAUAACCAUCUGUCAAGAGGGGAGUCUGAAUCCGUAAGGGGAGUCAAGGACCUCGGAACAAGCACUUGCUGCCAGGCUGAGAAACGUGCCUGGAGGGAGGUGGGGCAGCCAGGGAGAACACGCCAAACGCUCCACGGACAAACUCGCUACCUCAAAAAUAUAAGUGUUUUAUACGUUUAUUUAAAAGAUUCCCUUUUCCAUCUGUUCCAAAGUUCCUGCCGCCACCCUUCCAGCACAGGCCGGGAGGACAUGGUUUCAAGGGGAAAAGGACAAGCCCUCCACUGAAGCGAGGUAGGACAGUCAGCUCCUGGGCAGCGUCCAAAGCUGGCCUCAGGGAGCGAGCGCAGGAAUCGGGCAACUGGGCCUCCCUCUUGUGAGGAAAGAGCUGAGAAAAUUCAUCUUCUCUUUAGUGACAAUGGUCCACACUCAGAUUCAGAAGCCUCCAUCCUGAUGUUCCCUGGCCCUCAUCUCCCUCCUCUAGGGCCAGUUUUAGCAGGCAAACGGGAAUAUAGAUACAUAUAUGUGUACAUAUAUAUUUUAGAUAGGUAAAAUAUAUACAUAUCUUAUACAUGUACAUAUAUAUAUUUGGGGGAGGGGAAGGAGGAGAGGGUAAUGUAAACCUAAACAGUCAUCACAUCACCCCAAUGAGCCUGACAUGAACACAGAUAAUAAAUAACGCCUGGGGUGAGUGACAACACGGCGCAGCAAGAGGGAAAGGGCACACGUUCACUAUUAAAUACACUCACGUUUGGCAGAGUUCAGGCCAGCCCCAGGCUUCUGCACUUGCCAGACAAGUAAGCUGAUGAUACUCAGAAAUUCUCUAAGAAAGUAUUCAAGCAGAGCUCCAAACCACAGUUUUCCUUCAAGUCCGGUGGCUGCAGGCAGUUUCCGACCACCAGGAACAGAAACUUUGGCUCCAAGGCAAAUGAAAAAAAAAAAAAAAAAAAAAAAAAAUUCCC